UUUAAUUGAGGAUCUUACUGUUUGCCUGGUUUGUUAAGCUAUUUUUGCUAAGUCACUAUAGGAAAUGAAUACCUCAUUCCUCUUCCUAACAAUAGCUCUUAGGAAGUUCUCCUCCAAGCCAACUGGGUUCAGUGAAGGACACGUGCUUCUUUCAUCCAUAAUUAGAGGAUGGAAAUCUGUGUAAUAUAUCAAAGGAAAAUUAUUGACAAUCAACAUCAAGUCGCAAAUAAACGCCUUGAUAAGAUGAAUCAGUAAUUUCCCUGCUUGACAACUGGGUAUUUGUGAUCCCCGUCUGAGCUGCAGAGUCUGUCUGUAGAGACAAGAAGUUGCAGUAAGUCCAGCCCAGGAG